GCUAAUCUCAAGCGCCGGGGACGUGGCUAUUACUCUCCUGGUUUGCCCUCCCUUGGCCUGUCGUGGCCUUUUUGAUGCUUUGUGCCUAUUUCCUCUGGUACUUUCAUCAGAAUUCAAUUUCCUCCCUGAAUUCUCCAUUUCCCUAUAAAAUGAAAAUUCAUCUAGAAUUACAUCUUAUGUCAUCAUUAUGUUUAUUAAGCGUGGAUGAUGUAUAUGAACAGUACUGGCUUGCUGCUGAGUGGUUAAUGGUGCAUAAGAUUAAGCCGAGUCUCUCAGCUGCGCAGCGACUCCCCUCCGGUUCCCAUGUUGUAAAGGCAUGCUGGGAGUACAAGUUCCAAACGGACAACCAGCAUGUGGAGUUGUGAGCUGUGCUUGGGAUGAAGCAAUCCCAUGACUUCUGGUGUUACCCAAAGGAGGACUCAGUCCACAUUCUCCUGCAACCAGCGCAUUGUCACUGGGGAAUUUAAAAUCUGCACAUCUUUAACAAAAGUGACGUAACACUUGCAACAGAGUGAUGGCCAUUUUGUUUUGCAUCACCAUUUGUUUCUAACUGGGAGAUCACAAACUCUGCUGAUACAGUGGUUCCUUCUCAGACCAUGAUGUGAAAUGGGACUUUUUUCUGUGUACUGAAUUGUAAAGCCAGAAUCCAUCUCCCACAAUGCUUCAUAUCUGCUGGAACUCUUUUUCUCCAGGCCUGUGGGCUGAGUAGAAAAGAAAGCAGCUACUGAGCAUUUGCAGAACUUUAUUUUGUCGUUGUGGUACAAUGACACCCAGCCAACUCCAACACUUCCAGGGUCAGGGGGCAGGUCAGUUUCAGAGCCAGUCUGGUGGGGUGGACACAGAAUCAGACUUAGAAUGGAGAGAUCUGUAUUCAGUCCUUGCUCAGCUAAAAGCUCACCUGGUGACCUUUGGCUAGCCUCCAUCGUGCAACCAAGUCCAAAAUUACCUUACAGGGUUACUGUGAAGAUAAAUGGGGUAGAGAGCUGCCCUGUGCUCCUUGGAAAAAGAAUGGGAUCAAAAUGUGAUAAAUCAAUAAAAAAUUAAGGCCAGGUCCUGGCAUAUAUGUUCCUCUUUUAGAUGGUUCAAGUAGACUUCUUCAAACAAAAAAUAUUUGUGUCCCAAACCCAGAAACCCACCUGUCUGCUAUUCUCACACAACAACACGCAUGCAUACAUGCACACCUCCCACAUCCAUCACUAGGACAGCGAUAAUGGUGGCUGGCCAACCGCGCAGAGCUGACAAGGAGAAAGAGAGACAUUUCUAGCAGGGAGAAUGAGGAACAGCUCCUCCCUGUGCUCAUUUGAAUGGAGGGAAUCUCAGUCUAAAUUUUAUUUACAGUGGCCCUGAUUAUGAUGGGCAUAACAUGAGUA